CACGUAGGGGACGAGCGUUGUCCGGAAUCAUUGGGCGUAAAGCGCGCGUAGGCGGCCCGGAAAGUCGGAUGUGAAAUCCCGGGGCUCAACCCCGGGCCUGCAUCCGAUACUCCCGGCUGGAGGCAGGUAGGGGAGAUCGGAAUUCCUGGUGUAGCGGUGAAAUGCGCAGAUAUCAGGAGGAACACCGGUGGCGAAGGCGGAUCUCUGGGCCUUGCCUGACGCUGAGGCGCGAAAGCUAGGGGAGCGAACAGG
rnacentral:rRNA from 1 species